GUGUUUGCUUUGGAAACACAUAUGCUAAAAUUGGAGCAAUACAGAAAAGAUUGGAAUGGCCAUUGCACAAGUAUAACAUGAAUAUUUGUAAAGCAUUCCAGAUUUUU